GUCUGGAUAGCUCUGUUGAUUAGAGCGUAGUGCUGAUAAUGCCAAGGCCGCAGGUUCAAUCCCUGUAUGGGACA